GACGAACGCAGGCGGCGUGCCUAAUACAUGCAAGUAGAACGCUGAAGAGAGGAGCUUGCUCUUCUGGUGAGUUGCGAACGGGUGAGUAACGCGUAGGUAACCUGCCUUGUAGCGGGGGAUAACUAUUGGAAACGAUAGCUAAUACCGCAUAACAAUGGGUGACACAUGUCAUUUAUUUGAAAGGGGCAAUUGCUCCACUACAAGAUGGACCUGCGUUGUAUUAGCUAGUAGGUGAGGUAACGGCUCACCUAGGCGACGAUACAUAGCCGACCUGAGAGGGUGAUCGGCCACACUGGGACUGAGACACGGCCCAGACUCCUACGGGAGGCAGCAGUAGGGAAUCUUCGGCAAUGGGGGCAACCCUGACCGAGCAACGCCGCGUGAGUGAAGAAGGUUUUCGGAUCGUAAAGCUCUGUUGUAAGUCAAGAACGAGUGUGAGAGUGGAAAGUUCACACUGUGACGGUAGCUUACCAGAAAGGGACGGCUAACUACGUGCCAGCAGCCGCGGUAAUACGUAGGUCCCGAGCGUUGUCCGGAUUUAUUGGGCGUAAAGCGAGCGCAGGCGGUUUGAUAAGUCUGAAGUUAAAGGCUGCGGCUCAACCAUAGUUCGCUUUGGAAACUGUCAAACUUGAGUGCAGAAGGGGAGAGUGGAAUUCCAUGUGUAGCGGUGAAAUGCGUAGAUAUAUGGAGGAACACCGGUGGCGAAAGCGGCUCUCUGGUCUGUAACUGACGCUGAGGCUCGAAAGCGUGGGGAGCGAACAGG
rnacentral:rRNA from 1 species